rnacentral:rRNA from 1 species
CCUACGGGAGGCAGCAGUGAGGAAUAUUGGUCAAUGGACGAGAGUCUGAACCAGCCAAGUCGCGUGAAGGAUGACUGCCCUAUGGGUUGUAAACUUCUUUUAUAUGGGAAUAAAACAGGGUAUGCAUACCCUCUUUUAUGUACCAUAUGAAUAAGGAUCGGCUAACUCCGUGCCAGCAGCCGCGGUAAUACGGAGGAUCCGAGCGUUAUCCGGAUUUAUUGGGUUUAAAGGGAGCGUAGGUGGAUUGUUAAGUCAGUGGUGAAAGUUUGCGGCUCAACCGUAAAAUUGCAGUUGAAACUGGCAGUCUUGAGUACAGUAGAGGUGGGCGGAAUUCGUGGUGUAGCGGUGAAAUGCUUAGAUAUCACGAAGAACUCCGAUUGCGAAGGCAGCUCACUGGACUGCAACUGACACUGAUGCUCGAAAGUGUGGGUAUCAAACAGGAUUAGAUACCCCGGUAGUC